rnacentral:rRNA from 1 species
GAUGAACGCUAGCGGCAGGCUUAACACAUGCAAGUCGAGGGGUAACAGGGAAAAGCUUGCUUUUCUGCUACGACCGGGCGCACGGGUGCGUAACGCGUAUACAAUCUGCCUUAUACAGAGGGAUAGCCUUUAGAAAUGAAGAUUAAUACCUUAUAGUCUAUAUAUAUAGCAUUAUAUAAAUAGUAAAGCUUCGGUGGUAUAAGAUGAGUAUGCGUCCUAUUAGUUAGUUGGUGAGGUAACGGCUUACCAAGACAACGAUAGGUAGGGGCCCUGAGAGGGGGAUCCCCCACACUGGUACUGAGACACGGACCAGACUCCUACGGGAGGCAGCAGUGAGGAAUAUUGGACAAUGGAGGCAACUCUGAUCCAGCCAUGCCGCGUGCAGGAAGACGGCCCUAUGGGUUGUAAACUGCUUUUAUAUAGGAAGAAACCUUUUCACGUGUGAGAAGCUGACGGUACUAUAAGAAUAAGGACCGGCUAACUCCGUG